rnacentral:ribozyme from 1 species
UGCUCAGCAACUCCUAUCCCUACCUCCUCGUGGCCGGAGUGCGAGUAACCUUGGGGAAGAUCGGGUAUCCAACCCCGGUGGGAACUUUGGUCGUAUGCUAACAGAGCAGG